UUAUAAUAUACAUGACAUGUGGCAAUAUAGAUCCACAUCAGCUAUUUUAUUUAUUUUAUUCUCAAUUUUAAAACACCACUCACGCCUCUCUUCCUCAUCCCAUCAAAGCCGUCCCUGAAGCUCCAACGAAAAUGCUACCGGCGAGCCACGACCACGGCCAUGGAUUCUCUCUCGAUCCCCAUCUCCAUCUCUCAGCCCCUAAUGUCCCUCCUCUCUCCCAAACAAACUUAGAUCCCCAAAUCAUCACCGCCUCUUCGCGAUUUCUGGCAACCACAGCAGCCAUGGCCGCCACCGCUUCGACUCCCUCUAUCUCCUGCCGUCGGCAAGCCACGGCCACGUCUUCUGUCUCGACCCCCAUCUCCAUCUUCUCCGUUCUCGACCGACCAGCAGGGACAGAACCACCGCCGCCAUUUGCCACCUUCAUUCCCCCUCCCACCCUCCCGGCGGAUCUGCCCCUCCCACCACCAGAAAACCAGAAAUCGAUCUGCCACCUCCCUUCCCCCACAUGCACCUCGAUCCCUUUCGGGAUCUGAUCUAAGACUUUUCCGGAACAAGCGAGUCUAGCUGGUUGAUCUGAAAUAAAGUGACACUCAAUUUGCUGUUUGAUUGAGGUAUUUUUUUUCUUUUGGAAUUCAGAUAUAUUAAUUUUUUAAGUUGAUUCGAUUUAAUUUUGAUGCGUAUCUAUGCAUUUAGUAUCCUGCUCCGAUUUGUGUUUAUUUCUGUUUUGGUGGGAUUGUUUUAUUGGUGGAUGCGUAUCUAUGUAUUUACCUCUUCAGAGAUAUAUUGUUUAUGUUAUUCGUUCCAACCUCUUGUAUGAGUGGCAAAUGAAUUUUUACUCAUCUCAUUUGUAGGUUGUGAUUUAUGUUAUUCAUGUUCCAACCUCUGGCAAAUGAAUUUUACUCAUCUCAUUUGUAGGUUGUGACUCCUAUAUUACAUACAUCAAUCAACAGGUAUGUGAUAAACGAUUCUUUAAAUAUUAUAUACUAUGUUAUUUUUUGCAUUUAGUAAUUGAAUUAGAUCUGUGCUUCCCUGAUAUUAGCUCUGGUUUUCUGCCAUUUUGUAUAAAUAUUAUUUUCCUGCAUUUUUGUAUCAACUAGUUAAUUAUUCGAUGUUGAUUAUUUUUGGUGCUUUUUCUUGAGAUUAUUGUUGUGCAAUUAGAUCUGUGCUUUAUUUUUCGGUGGGGCUAUGUAUGUGGAGGUGUUGAACGAAGGGGUGCGCCCGCUUGCUUUCACCAUUAGGAAGAAAAACAAAGCUCGAGAGACCAACACUUACUUGGACACAGUAUCUAGAUUCUCUUCAUCCGCUCAUCCACUUUCAAGAUAGGGAAGAGGAAGUAUUAGUGACCUUUCAUAAAGUAUGGUAAAUGGUUUGUUUUAGGGCCCUAAUCCCUAAACCCACCAGUUUGAUUUGAUUUUGGCUGGAUGGAGAAUGAGAUGUUAGAGUUUGUUUUUGUUGAAUGCAGAAAUUAUGGGGUUUACACAUUGUUGAAUCUCAAGAUGAAUGUGCAAUGGAAUCACAAUUUUGCUAUACUGAUUCAUCUUAUACAGUGGCAUUAGUAUACUAACUGGGGAGAGGGAGGGAACCAUCGUUAUCAAUAUUAGCAAUUUACCUAGAUUUCAUCAAUCCAUGAUAAUUGUGAUGUAUAGUUGUGUAAUGCAUGAUUUGUAAUUUUAGUUUUGAUUACAAUUAUGUAGUUGCAUAUUGUAAUAGAAUUGAACUCAAAUGCCUAAAUAUGUUAUUUAGAUCGCCAUCAUUAUUAUAUUUAUCUGCAAUUCUAGAGAAUUUUUCUUUUUA